UGGCGCCCAGUGUGAGGCUCCUGGCAUGGGGGAGUCAACGAGGGAGCCGUUCGAGAAAGCCGGCUAAAAGUGAAAGCAAAUUCAACCAAAGACUGCGGCAAAAGGAAAAACAAACUAAAUCAAGGACUAAAGCUAAAAGCAAAAGCACAUUAAAUCAAGGACCGAGGCCUGCACGGAUGACUACCCGACAUCCCGCACGAGUCACGGUGAGUGAACAGUGACCCCAUUCCCUUUCCUGGACAUGGGUCAAGCAUUGAGCAAACACAAAUUGUUCAUAGAAGGCCUUAUAAAGGCAUUAAAGACAAGAGAGGUAAGGGUUAGAACAAAAGAAUUAUUGUAGUAUUUUCAAUUUAUCCAUAAGGUUUGCCCUU
rfam:Cavia porcellus supercont2_84 genomic scaffold, whole genome shotgun sequence.